rnacentral:lncRNA from 1 species
AAGGAUGGCCAUUGGCCACCUUCGGCCAUGACAGCAAGGUCCCCAUCCACCCAUUGGUCACCCGAGCAUCUCCCACGUGACCCCUGACCCAUCCUACGCCACUCCUCGCGCUCGGUUGUGCACAGCUCCGCCCGCACGGCAUAGGCGCCUUACAGACAGAGCACCGCCAUGAGGCUGCCAUGCCUGGCGCUUGCCCUUGCUGCCAAUAGCCACCCAGCGUCGCCGUGUCGUUCCUAUCCGUUCC